CAGCUCUGCUCCUGAGUGCUCUGGCUGCUUGGGUUCCUGGCAUGCUGAUUUGUGACUUAAGAUUAAAAUCACAUUGCCAGGGAUUACCACGCAACCACGACCUUGGCUGCUCCUCUGAAA
rnacentral:pre_miRNA from 13 species